rnacentral:lncRNA from 1 species
CCCAUUUUGUCUCCAAAAUUAAACCGUACCCGAAGUCAAUUAUCAAACUAGUCGUCUUCAUCAGUGGCGGCGUGGGAGCAGUCAGAAACCCCUGCAUUAAUGAGAAGUUUAUGUCAACGAAAUUAGUUGCUAGGUUGGUGUGAGAAAUCAUAUAAUACUCAGAUUCUCUUUAGAUUUUUUUCGAAAGUAGACAAAUUUUUUGGAGGGAAAAUUAUUUUACCUUUUUUGAUGGAAAAUUUAUUAUAAGAUAAAAAGAAGAAGAUGAUUGUCAGUUUCGGUAGGUUUUCUAAGUUCCUGAGGACGUACAGAUCAGAGAUCAAAGAAUGGAAGGUGGAAUUCAGAACUGAAACAAAUUUCGAAAUUUUCUUUUAAUGUUUCCUACUGUACUGGCCUAGAAACUGAUUCUAAUUGAAUUUCCUUUGCAGUUGAUGAUAUUGUUGUUGUACAGGCUGGAAGAUGGAUCUUGUUUAGCA